rnacentral:rRNA from 1 species
UACGUAGUGUGCAAGCGUUGUCCGGAAUUAUUGGGCGUAAAGAGCUCGUAGGCGGUUUGUCGCGUCUGCUGUGAAAACUCGGGGCUUAACUCCGGGCCUGCAGUGGGUACGGGCAGACUAGAGUGCGGUAGGGGAGACUGGAAUUCCUGGUGUAGCGGUGAAAUGCGCAGAUAUCAGGAGGAACACCGGUGGCGAAGGCGGGUCUCUGGGCCGUAACUGACGCUGAGGAGCGAAAGCGUGGGGAGCGAACAGG